rnacentral:rRNA from 1 species
AGAAUCAACGCUGGCGGCGUGCCUAACACAUGCAAGUCGAACGAGAAAGUGGAGCAAUCCAUGAGUAAAGUGGCGCACGGGUGAGUAACACGUGACUAACCUACCCUUGAGUGGGGGAUAACCUCGGGAAACCGGGGCUAAUACCGCAUAAUAUCGAGAGAUCAAAGGAGCAAUUCGCUUAAGGGAGGGGGUCGCGGCUGAUUAGCUAGUUGGUAGGUAAUGGCCUACAAGGCUAUGAUCAGUA